rnacentral:rRNA from 1 species
CAGUCGCCGCGGUAAAACGAAGGGUGCAAGCGUUAAUCGGAAUUACUGGGCGUAAAGGGUGCGUAGGCGGUUGUUUAAGUCUGUUGUGAAAUCCCCGGGCUCAACCUGGGAAUGGCAAUGGAUACUGGACAGCUAGAGUGUGUCAGAGGAUGGUGGAAUUUCCGGUGUAGCGGUGAAAUGCGUAGAGAUCGGAAGGAACAUCAGUGGCGAAGGCGGCCAUCUGGGACAACACUGACGCUGAGGCGCGAAAGCGUGGGGAGCAAACAGGAUUAGAUACCCGCGUAGUCCCUGUCUCUUAUAC